AACGAACGCUGGCGGCAGGCUUAACACAUGCAAGUCGAGCGCCCCGCAAGGGGAGCGGCAGACGGGUGAGUAACGCGUGGGAAUCUACCUAGUUCUACGGAACAACUCAGGGAAACUUGAGCUAAUACCGUAUACGCCCUUCGGGGGAAAGAUUUAUCGGAAUUAGAUGAGCCCGCGUUGGAUUAGCUAGUUGGUGAGGUAAUGGCUCACCAAGGCGACGAUCCAUAGCUGGUCUGAGAGGAUGAUCAGCCACACUGGGACUGAGACACGGCCCAGACUCCUACGGGAGGCAGCAGUGGGGAAUAUUGGACAAUGGGCGCAAGCCUGAUCCAGCCAUGCCGCGUGAGUGAUGACGGCCUUAGGGUUGUAAAGCUCUUUCAACGGUGAAGAUAAUGACGGUAACCGUAGAAGAAGCCCCGGCUAACUUCGUGCCAGCAGCCGCGG
rnacentral:rRNA from 1 species